AUUGAACGCUGGCGGCAGGCCUAACACAUGCAAGUCGAACGGUAACAGGAAGCAGCUUGCUGCUUUGCUGACGAGUGGCGGACGGGUGAGUAAUGUCUGGGAAACUGCCCGAUGGAGGGGGAUAACUACUGGAAACGGUAGCUAGUACCGCAUAACGUCGCAAGACCAAAGAGGGGGACCUUAGGGCCUCUUGCCAUCGGAUGUGCCCAGAUGGGAGUAGCUAGUAGGUGGGGUAACGGCUCACCUAGGCGACGAUCCCUAGCUGGUCUGAGAGGAUGACCAGCCACACUGGAACUGAGACACGGUCCAGACUCCUACGGGAGGCAGCAGUGGGGAAUAUUGCACAAAGGGCGCAAGCCUGAUGCAGCCAUGCCGCGUGUAUGAAGAAGGCCUUCGGGUUGUAAAGUACUUUCAGCGGGGAGGAAGGGAGUAAAGUUAAUACCUUUGCUCAUUGACGUUACCCGAAGAAGAAGCACCGGCUAACUCCGUG
rnacentral:rRNA from 1 species